rnacentral:SRP_RNA from 1 species
AAAUUUUUCCGUUAGCGGGGAAUUUUUUCCGCUAGAUUUAGCGGGGAAAUUUUUCCGCUAGAUUUAACGUGGAAAUGUUUCCGCUAGAUGUAGCGGGGAAUUUUUUCCGCUAGAUUUGGCGGGGAAAUUUCUCCGCUAGACUUAGCGGGGAAAUUUCCCCGCUAAAUCUAGCAGGGAAAUUUUUCGGCUGGAUUUAGCGGGGAAACUUUUUCCGCUAGAGUUAGCGGGGAAUUUUUUCCGCUAGAUUUAGCGGGGAAUUUUUUCGCUA